CCUACGGGAGGCAGCAGUGAGGAAUAUUGGUCAAUGGCCGAGAGUCUGAACCAGCCAAGUCGCGUGAAGGAAGACUGCCCUACGGGUUGUAAACCUCUUUUAUCUGGGAGUAAAGCGAGUCACGUGUGGGUCAUUGAGAGUACCCUAAGAAAAAGCAUCGGCUAACUCCGUGCCAGCAGCCGCGGUAAUACGGGGGAUCCGAGCUUUAUCCGGAUUUAUUGGGUUUAAAGGGAGCGCGGGCGGGGGUUAAAGUCAGCGGUCAAAUUUCGGGGCUCAACCUCGAACUGCAGUUGAAACUGGAUGCCUUGAGUACGCGAGAGGUGUGCGGAAGGCGUGGGGUAGCGGUGAGAUGCAUAGAUAUCACGAAGAACUCCGAUUGCGAAGGCAGCCUGCCAAGCUAUGACUGACGCUGAUGCACGAAAGCGUGGGGAUCAAACAGGAUUAGAUACCCGAGUAGUC
rnacentral:rRNA from 1 species